CCUUUUCUCCACACCUUCUCCACCACUUACUGUUUGCAGAUUUUUUGAUGAUGGCCAUUCUGACUACUGUAAAAUGGUACCUCAUAGUUGUUUUGACUUGCAUUUCUCUAAUAACUUAUGAUGUUGAGCAUCUUUUUGUAUGUGUGCUUUGGCCAUCUGUAUGUCUUCUUUGGAGAAUUGUCUGUUUAAAUAUUCUGCCCAUUUUUUGAUGGGGUUGUUUGGUUUUUUGGUUUUGAGCUGGAGGAGGUGUUUAUAAAUUUUGGAGAUUAAUCCUUGAUCAGUCGCUUCACGUGCAAAUAUUAUCUCCCAUUAUAUAGGUUGUCUUUUCAUUUUGUUUAGGGUUUCCUUUGCUGUGCAGAAACGUUUCAGUUUGAUUAAGUCCCAUUUGUUUGUUUUUGUUUUUAUUGUCAUUACUCUAGGAGGUGGAUCUGAGAAGAUGUUGCCAGAGUGUAUUUAUGUCAGAGUGUGUUUGGACUAUGUUUUCCUCGAAGAGUUUUAUAGUGUCUGGGCUUAUAUUUAAGGUCUUUAAUCCAUUUAGAGUUUAUUUUUGUGUAUGGUGUUAGGGAGUGUUCUAAUUUCAUUCUUUUACACGUGGCUGUCCAAUUUUCUCAGCACCACUUAUUUUAGGGGCUGUCUUUUCUGCAUUGUAUAUUCUUGGCUCAUUUGUCAUAGAUUAGUUGACUGUAGGUGCACAGGUUUAAUUCUGGGCUUUCUAUCUUGUUCCACUGAUCAAUAUUUCUGUCUUUGUGCCAGUACUAUAUGAUUUUGAUGACUGUAGCCUUGUAGUCUAUUCUGAAGUCAGGGAGCCUGAUCUCUCCAGCUCCAUUUUUCUUUCUCAGGAUGUCUUUGGCUAUUUUGGAUCGUUUGUGCUUCCAAACAAAGUUUAAAAUAUUUUGUUUCAGUUCUGUAAAAAAUUCCCUUGGUAAUUUGAUAGGGAUUGCAUUGAAUCUGUAGAUUGCCUUGGGUGGUAGAGUCAUUUUGAUAAUAUUGACUCUUCUAAUCCAAGAGCAUGGUAGACCUUUCCAUCUGUUUGUGUCAUCUUUGAUUUCUUUCAUCAUCAUCUUAUAGUUUUCAGAGGACAGGUCUUUUGCCUCUGUAGGUAGGUUUAUUCUUAAGUAUUUUAUUCUUUUUGAAACAGUGGUAAAUAGGAUUGUUUCCCUAAUUUCUCUUUCUGAUCUUUAGUUGUUAGUACAUAGAACUGCAGUGAAAUUCUGUGUAUUAAUUUUGUAUCCUGCUACUUUGCCAAAUUCAUGGAUGAGCUCUAGGUUUUUUGGUAGCAUCAUUAGGAUGUUCAUCAGUGAAACUGGCCCGUAAUUAUCUUUUGUUGUGGUAUCUUUGUCUGGUUUUGGUAUCAGAGUUACGGUGGCCUCAUACAAUGAGUGUGGGAGUGUCCCUUCCUCUGCAAUUUUUUGGAAUAGUUUCAGAAGGGUAGGUGUUAGCUCUUCUCUAAAUGUUUGAGAGAAUCUGCCUGUGAAGCCAUCUGGUCCUGGACUUUUGUUGGAAGUUUUUUAAUCACAGUUUCAAUUUCAGUUCUUGUGAUGGUCCAUUCAUCUUUUCUAUUUCAUCUUGGUUUCGUCUUGGACGAUUGUGCUUUUCUAAUAAUUUGUCCAUUUCUUCUAGGUUUUCCAUUUUAUUGGCAUGUAGUAGUCUCUUAUGAUCCUUUGUAUUUCUGUGAUGUCCAUUGUUCCUUCUCCUUUUUCAUUCCUAACUUUAUUGAUUUGAGUCCUCCAUCUUUUUUGCUUGAUAAGUCUGGCUAGGGGUUUAUCCAUUUUGUUGAUCUUUUCAAAGAACCAGCUGUGUGUUUCAUUGAUCUUUUCUACGGUUUUCUUUGUUUCUAUUUCCUUGAUUUCUGCUCUGAUCUUUAUGAUUUCUUUCCUUCUGCUAACUCUAGGUGUUGUCUGUUCUUCUCUCUCUAGCUGCUUUAGAUGUAAAGUUAGGUUGUUUAUUUGAGUUUUUUCUUGUUUCCUGAGGUGGGCUUGUAUUGCUAUAGACUUCCCUCCUGAACGGCUUUUGCUGCAUCCCAUAGGUUUUGGGGUGUUGUAUCAUUGUUGGCAUUUGCUUCCAGGUAUUUUUAAUUUCCUCUUUGAUUUCUUCACUGAUCCAUUGGUUGUUUAGUAGUAUGUUCUCUAGUCUCCAUGUGUUUGUGUUUUUUGCAGUAUUUUUUCUUGUUGCUGAUUUCCAGUCGUAUAGCAUUGUGGUCAGAAAAAAUGCUUGAUAUGAUUUCAAUUUUCUGAAAGUUACCGAGGCCUGAUUUGUGGUCCAGAAUGUGAUCAAUCCUAGAGAACGUUCCGUGUGCACUUGAGAAGAAUGUGUAUUCUGUUCCUUUUGGAUGGAAUGUCCUAUAAAUAUCUAUUACGUCCAUCUACUCCGAUGCUUCAUUCAGGGCCUGUGUUUCCUUGUUGAUUUUCUGUCUAGAAGAUCUGUCAAUCUGUCCAUUAUCCAAGUGGGCUGUUAAAGUCCCCACAAUUAUUGUGUUAUCGUCAAUUUGUCCUGUUAAGGUUGUUAGCAGUUGCCUUAUAUAUUGAGGUGAUCCUAUGUUGGGUAUAUAUCAUAUACAUUUACAAUUGUUAUAUCUUUUUCUGGGAUUGAUCCUUUGAUCAUUAUGUAAUGUCCUUCUUCGUCUAAUAGCCUUUAUUUUAAGGUCUAUUUUGUCUGAUACGAGUAUUGCUACUCCAGCUUUCUUUUGAUUCCCAUUUGCAUGGAAUAUUUUCUUCCAUCCUCUCACUUUCAAUUUGUAUGUGUCCCUAGAAGUGAAGUGGGUCUCUUGAAGACAGCGUAUAUGUGGGUCUUGUUUUUGUAUCCAUUCAGCCAGUCUGUGUCUUUUGGUUGGGGCAUUUAGUCCAAUUACAUUUAAGGUAAUUAUUGAUAUAUAUGUUCUUGUUGCCAUGGUAUUAACUGUUUUGGAUUUGUUUUUGUUGCUCUUUUUUCUUCCCUUCUUCUCUUGUUCUCUCCUCUUGUGGUUUGAUGACUAUCUUUAGUGUUGUAUUGGAGUUGAUUUUUCUUAUUUGUUUGUGUAUCAAUUGUAGAUGUUUGGUUUGCAUUUUCCCUCAAGUUUUGAUAUAGGAGUCUAUCUGUCUACACACACACACACACACACACACACACACACACACACACAUAUGAGAUUGUUUUGAGUUGUUGGCGUCUUAAUUGCAAGUGCAUCUCCAGUGUCCUGCAUUUGUACCCUCCUCGCCUCACGAUUUCUGAUUUUGGUAGCAUAUUGUGCAUGGAUGAUUUCCUAGUUUCACUGUUUAUUUGACUUUACUGGUGAGCCUUGUCAUUUGUGGGUUUUUUUUGUUUCUGGUUGUGGCCUUUUCUUUUCUGCCUAGAGAAGUUCCUUUAGUAUUUGUUGUAAAACUUGUUCAGUGUUGCCGAAUUCUCUUAACUUUUGCUUGUCUAUAAACCCUUUGAUUUCCCUUCAAAUCUGAAUGAGAGCUUUGCUGGGUAAAGUAAUCUUGGUUGGAGGUUUCUUUCCUUUCAUCACUUUAAUUAUAUCAUGCCACUCUCUUCUGGUCUGCAGAGUUUCUGCCAAAAAAUCUUCUGCUAACCUUAUCAGGGUUCCCUUGUAUGUUCUUUGUUUCUUUUCCCUAGCUGCUUUCCAUAUUUUCUCUUUGUCUUUAAUUCUGGUCAGUUUGAUUAAUAUGUGUCUCAGGGUGUUCCUCCUUGGGUUGAUUUUAUAUGGUACUCGUUGUGCUUCCUGGAUUUGAGUGAGUGGUUCCUCUCCCGUGUUAGGAAAGUUUUCAGCUCUUCUCUCUUGGAAUAAUUUUUUUUCUGUCCCUUUCUCUCUCUCUUCUCCUUCUGGCACCCCUAUAAUAUGGAUGAUGGUGCAUUUAGCGUUGUCCCAGAGUUCUCUGUGACUGUCUUCAUUUCUUUGCAAUCUUUUUUCUCUUUUUUAUUGCACAUCGGUGAUUUCCACUAAUCUGUCCUCCACCUUGCUUAUUCGUUCUUCCACCUCCUGUGUGGUGCUGUUGGUUGCUUCUCAUGAAUUUUUUCUGUUCCAGUUAUUGUAUUUUGCAUUUCUGCUUCCUUAAGUUUUAAAUCUCGUAUGUCUUUGCUCCCUGUUUGAUGUCAAUUAUCACUCUUUGCCUCCAGUUUAUUUCCAACGUUUGAAUCUUCUUCAGCUGAGACUCUCCUGAUCACCUAGCUGUUUUUCUGGGGUUUUUUCUUGCCCCCUUUUCGUAGUUACAGUUCUCUGACUUUUCAUUUUUAUAGGUCUUUGGUGUGGUGUCCUUUUUGCAUACAACAGAGUUGUAGCCUCUCUUACUUCUGGUGUCUGCACCUCAUGUGGCUGAAGUUGGUACAGGGGCUUGCUGUAGGCUUCCUGAUGGGAGGGGCUGGUGCCUGCCCUCUGGUAGGUGGAGCUGAUUCCUAUCCCUCUGGUGGGAGGGGCUUUGUCUCUGAGUGCAAUUAGAGGUGGCUGUGUGCUUGCAGGUGUCUUUUGGCAGCCUGUUUACUAAUGGGUUUUGCUAUGAUCCCACCUGGAUUGUCGUUUGGCCUGGGGCUUCUCAGCGCUGAUGGGUGGGGCCAAACUUUUCCAACAUGGCCACCUCUAGAGGAACACAUGCUGAUGAAUAUUCCUGAGACCAUUGCCUCCAAUGUCCUUCCCCCACAACGAGCCACAGACACCCCCUGUUUUCCCAGGAGGUCCUCCAUGAACUGCAGUCGAUUCUGACCCAGAUUCCUAUGGAGUCUCUGCUUUGCCCCAGGACCCACUGCACAUGAAAGCCUGUGUAUGCCUUUCAAGAAAGGGGUCUCCCUUUCCCCCAGUUCUGUGGAGCUCCUGUGCAGAAGCCCCACUGGAUUUCAAUGCCAGGUGCUCUGGAGUCACUUUCUCCCAGUGUCAGAUCCCCACAUGUGGGAGUUUAAUGUAGGGCUCAGAACUCUCACUCCUGUAGGUGAGUCUCUGUGAUACAGUUACUUUCCAGUCUGUGGGGCUUCCCACCUGGGAGGUAUGGUGUUGCUUAUAUCUCGUAAUUGCCCUUCCUAUUGUGUUGAUGUGGUUUCCUCCUUGUCUUCUGGAAUAGUCUUUUUGAAAGUUUCUUUCUUUCUUUCUUUUUUUUUUUGUCUUUUUUAUAGCCACACCUGUGGCAGAUGGAGGUUCCCAGGCUAGUGGUCUAAUCAGAGCUGUAGCUGCUGGCCUUUGCCAGAGCCACAGCAACAUGGGAUCCAAGCCACGUCUAUGACCUACACCACAGCUCAUGGCAAUGCUGGAUCCUUAGUUCACUGAGCAGGGCCAGGGAUUGAACCCACAACCUCAUGGUUCCUAGUCGGAUUCAUUAACCUCUGAGCCAUGACAGGAACUCCCAUCUUUUUUAAAGUUUCCAGUCCAUUUGGUUGAAAGUUGUUUGGCAUUUGGUUGUAAUUUUGUUGUUUUCAUGAGAGAAGGUGAAGUCCCGUCCUUCUAUUCUGCCAUCUUAAUCCAAUCUCCAGGAAUCUCUUUUUAAACCUUGGACCAAGCAGUGUUCCAUGGUCAAUUGAUUUAGGCCAGGGAUGGAAACAGGAUACUUGGAGUUCUCACUGUGGUACAAUGGGAUCAGCAGCACCUCUGCAGUACUGGGAUGCAGGUUUGAUUCCCAGCUUGGCACAGCGGGUUAAAGAUCCAGUGUUGCUACAGAUGUGGUGUAGGUUGCA
rnacentral:lncRNA from 1 species